GUAGUCAAACAGGCAGGCAAAUUGAACCUAACAACGGGCAGUUAACAGAACACUGAAUUCCCCUUUUAUACAUUUUCAAUUUCACGCCCCUGUGUGUGACGUCAUCACGCCGGCGCAUAAACCAGGAAUUGCGCGCCAUAGAGGAACCGGCAGAGCAAGGAACAGGAGCAGCGCAGCGGGCGUCCACUAGACCACCAGGAGAAACCACUCAUCGGAUAUCGGUACAGACAUCAGCACAGCUGCGCAGACACUGGGACCUUCCCGUUGACUUAUACAGGACCUCGAGAGCUUUUAGAUCCCGGAGUUUCGGAUUCAGUUUUUAAACCAUCAGACUUUAAUAAAUUUUGAAAAAUUCGCAGUUUUUUUUUUCCUCCGAAAACUACAAAUUAUUCGAGGUUCGGAUAUUCAGAGCUUGAUAAAUAACCCCCUAAAUGUAUAUCAGAGAAGUGAUCAGCUCACAUCUGAUCAUUAGAUCAACAAAAAUAUAAUGACAUUUCACAUAAGUCAGGAACACUUUGGGCCCCCAACAGUCCUGAUAACCCCGGCAGCUGCAGGGUCUGCUGUUCCUUUUAGUAAGCCCUGGCCAAGGGGUGCAGUAAAGCAAUAUAAAAAAACAGCAAAACACUGGCUGGCUUGUUUGAGAAUUGUGGGUUGUGUGAGCAGAAACAGUUAAGGCAUGGUCAUAUGUUUAUGUGCUAAUACUGGAGCCUUGUCUUCAAAAACAUAAACACAGCUAUUUACAUUUCAAUCACUGAAAGACAGAUAAGCUUAUCCUGCACAUUCCAGUCUCCUGGGGGGGCAGCAAGAACAAAUUGAUGAAACAAAUCCAGUGAAACCAGUUUCUCUUCCUUUGGUUUUGGUGAAUGUUCUGUAUACUCUACUUCAAUGAUCCCCAACCAGUGUCUCAGGAGCAACAUGUUGCUCACCAACCCCUUGGAUGUUAUUCUCAGUGGCCUCAAAACAGUUGCUUUUUUUUAAUUCCAGGUUUGGAGGCAGGUUUUGGUUGCAGAAAAACCAGGUGUACCACCAAACAGAGCCUCCUGUAGACUGUCGACAUAGGCACUACCAUACAGUCAAUCACAGCUAGGGUUGCCACCUUUUCCUAAUUUUUUUACCAACUGCUGGGGGGGCGGGCACAAAAAGGGGCGGAGUGUGACAUCAAAAGGAUCGGGUCAUGAUGUAAAGGGGCAGUACCGCGGUACGCAGAUUUCAAGACGGAGGAAUUUGUAAUACUGGCCCCGGCCUUGGCAGGUGUUUUACAGGCUAGGCUGAUAUUAAUCACAUCCCUUAUUUGGCACAACCCGGGAUUUUUUUCGUGCUUGUGUUGCUCCCCAAUUCUUUUGAAUGUGGCUCAUAGGUAGAAAAAAGUUGGGGAUCCCUGCUCUACUUGCUAGCUUUCUGAAGGUGGGGUACAUACACAUGCUUUACGGUUCUGAAGAAUAUUAAGUGGGGCAGGUCCGGACUGGCAAUCUAUGGGUUCUGGUAAAUGCAAGAGGGGCUGCUGUAAGAUGCCAUAGACACUCACUAUUUAGUGAGCUCUUGAGCCCUCUGUGUACUUGGAAUGUCAGGACCUAUUUUGACUCCCAGUCCAGACCUGGGGUGGGGGCUGAGAAGAUGAACCGAGGGAAACAGGGCAUUUUGC